UGCAGUGAGGUGCAUUGCACUGAUGUGUGCCAGUGGUGGAAUAUGAGGAAGGCAGUAAUAGGAUGGUUUUAUUAGGAAAAGUGCUGGAUGGUUUGUUACAAAGAAACACUCAACAUCAGCAGAAAUAACAAUGCUGAAACUGGAUAAGCUUUUCCAUUUAGGUUAACAGUACAAGUGCAUAGGACCAGAUCAUUCAUCCAGAAUAAGCUUGGAUAAAUACAGUGCUUACUACAAUCCCUACUGGACUGCAUUGGUAGCAUCUGACAAGUAUAUAAGGACCGAGCGUGCAAAAUCCAGGAGUGCAGUUGGCAUAAGUGGGGACUAAUACUGCAUUUUUUUAACAGUUUGUGGACCUCAGCAUGGAUCAGAGGAAGCAGCUCUGUCAGUCUGCCAAAAACCCAAUUUCCUGUAAAAGCACUUGAAGACCAUUUCAUUCCAAACAGCCUUUGGAACCGUUGAAGUUGUUGGACAAGGAGGAAUGCGGCUGGGCUGGACAUAGGGCAAAAGGAAGACAUCAUAUGACAGGAGUUCCACCUGAUUUUUUUUUUUUUUUUAAUUUACAGCUGCAAACAAGAAAAAGAGUGUAAAACAGCCCACCCAGAAGUUCCUAGUACAAGCUUUUCAUUAGAAUAUAGUGAUUUGUCAAAACUGAAGUAUUUCAUGAGCGUGUUAGUUUUCACAGAACUCUAGUCAAACACAGGCUGUUGAGAAACACCUUCUUCCCUCCAUUUUCCCCGCCAUGCUACUCAGGACAGUCAGUGAUUCAAAAUCGGUGUCUCUGGGCCAGAAAGCAGCCAAAUACACAAAACUCUCCCUGAAAGGGGAAGCCUGGGUCCAUCACCCUGUGACAGCUGGCAG